rnacentral:rRNA from 1 species
AAUGAACGCUGGCGGCAUGCCUAACACAUGCAAGUCGAACGAAGAAAACAGCUUGCUGUUUUCUUAGUGGCAAACGGGUGAGUAACGCGUGGGAAUCUACCUAUCUGUGGGGGAUAACUGAGGGAAACUUCAGCUAAUACCGCAUACGCUCGGAAACGAGGAAAGAUUUAUUGCAGAUAGAUGAGCCCGCGUCAGAUUAGGUUGUUGGUGGGGUAAUGGCCUACCAAGCCGAUGAUCUGUAGCUGGUCUGAGAGGAUGAUCAGCCACACUGGGAUUGAGAUACGGCCCAGACUCCUACGGGAGGAAGCAGUGAGGAAUAUUGGACAAUGGGGGAAACCCUGAUCCAGCAAUGCCGCGUGAAUGAAGAAGGCCUUCGGGUUGUAAAAUUCUUUCACUCGUGAAGAUGAUGACGGUAGCGAGAGAAGAAGGUCCGGCUAACUCUGUGCCAGCAGCCGCCGUAA